AAGUGUGGACGCCAGUCUGCAUGGAGCCGACCUUGAAAUACCACCCUUUAAUGUUUGAUGUUCUAACGUUGACCCGUAAUCCGGGUUGCGGACAGUGUCUGGUGGGUAGUUUGACUGGGGCGGUCUCCUCCUAAAGAGUAACGGAGGAGCACGAAGGUUGGCUAAUCCUGGUCGGACAUCAGGAGGUUAGUGCAAUGGCAUAAGCCAGCUUGACUGCGAGCGUGACGGCGCGAGCAGGUGCGAAAGCAGGUCAUAGUGAUCCGGUGGUUCUGAAUGGAAGGGCCAUCGCUCAACGGAUAAAAGGUACUCCGGGGAUAACAGGCUGAUACCGCCCAAGAGUUCAUAUCGACGGCGGUGUUUGGCACCUCGAUGUCGGCUCAUCACAUCCUGGGGCUGAAGUAGGUCCCAAGGGUAUGGCUGUUCGCCAUUUAAAGUGGUACGCGAGCUGGGUUUAGAACGUCGUGAGACAGUUCGGUCCCUAUCUGCCGUGGGCGCUGGAGA
rnacentral:rRNA from 1 species